rnacentral:lncRNA from 1 species
AUGCCGCAAAUUGCUGAAUGUGAGGAAUUUGUCAUGACAUUGUGGAACUGGGACCACAAGAUUAUAAUGACAACGUGCGAAAUAGAAACCUCUGUCUAUCACUUUGCAAUCAGCACUCUGCAACACUUUCCUGGCUUCUCUCCAGUCUCCGAGUUAUGUUUUUAUCAGAUGGUUUGCUUUUAUUUUUUUUUCAUCAACUCAGUCCUCCUGUGCUUUUUGAAAGCUGAGCUGCCUCUCUCUUGACUCUGCCUCAAACACAAAUGCUUAAGGUCUCAGAAGUGUGAAAUUAAAGCAUGCAUUGAAAUGAGACUCAGAAGUCAGGCUUGUGUUCUUGCCCUGUGUCUGCAGAGUGGGUUUUGUCCCACUUUCAUAGGAUAAAGGAGCCUUCACGUUCACUGUUUGUGACGUGAAUAACUGUAGGGGAACAGAGCAAAGCAGCAAUGCUUGGGUAACGAGGAAUCCUCCUAUUCCUCAGCAUCAUCCUGUGACAGAGGGUGAGCCUGCAGUGCUGUUCUGUGGCUGAACUGGUUUGUGACGUACUUAACCUAACAUAUGAACUGUCACAACAUAGGAAGAAGAGGCCAUCUAAAAGUUACAUGAAACUCAAAAAAUAGGUAAAAUGAAAGGACAAAACAGAAGUUUCUCAAGAGAAGUUUCCAGCCACUCCAGCUAAAGACAUUUCUUCUUUGCUAGUGCCAAAAUAUGCCAUACUUUACAUCCUCCUUUUUGAAAACCUUGGGGUGUGUGAUUAAACUUAUGUUUUUAGGAUAAUUUUGGUAUUAAAGUGCCUCCUCUAAUGCCUGUGGCACUUUUUUUCAAGGAGAGGAAGCAGAAAGGAAAAAUGAGGAUAAAAUCAAUUAAGCGGGGGGAAAAUAAUCUCUUUCUUUAGAAAGCCAUUUUUAAAAUUCUCACAUAAAUUAUUUUUGAUUGGCUAGCUUAAAAUAGCAGGAUGGUAUUGGAACCAAGGAUGGUAUUUCUGGUUCCUACUAACCUGUUGGCUCAAUGCAGGCAAAUGCAGCAUGUUGCUUACUCUACUUACAUGCACACUGCUUCCACUGUCAGCAAUGUUCACUGCUCUUGUUUGACGCAUUUGUAUAUUAUUUUAUAUUGUUAUCUGUAUUAAUAAUUUUUUUUUACAUUAAUAAUUGAUUAUUUCCCUAUGAAAUAACAGUGGUUUUCAGGCACUGUGC